rnacentral:rRNA from 1 species
CCUACGGGGGGCAGCAGUAGGGAAUUUUCCGCAAUGAGCGAAAGCUUGACGGAGCGACACAGCGUGCAGGAUGAAGGUCUUCGGAUUGUAAACUGCUGUUGUAAGGGAAGAAAAAAUUUAAUAGGAAAUGAUUAAAUCUUGACGGUACCUUAUUAGAAAGUGACGGCUAACUAUGUGCCAGCAGCCGCGGUAAUACAUAGGUCACAAGCGUUAUCCGGAAUUAUUGGGCGUAAAGAGUUUGUAGGCGGUUUAUCAAGUCUAGAGUUAAAGCCUGAGGCUCAACCUCAGUCCGCUUUGGAUACUGG